CCUACGAAUUUUAAAUCGAGGCGUUUGCCGAUAUUGCUAUUUCGACAUUUUCUUAAGACGUUUAUACCGGUUAAUAGCCCCGCAUGGUCAAUUUACCACAUACAUCGAGUUGAAUCUAAGAAUAAAUACUGAAUACCACCACAUAAAGUAUUCUUUUUCGACACGAUCGGUCCGCUAUCUGUUUCCAUAACAGAAAAGUAAAUUGACCUACACUUUGCUAGUAGCAGAUGGAGAUGACUGGUACUAGACAUCGAACUAAAUCCACGUUCAAAAUUGGUCGCACUAAAGUCUCAUCUGUAUUUCAACUGGCUUAAGAAAGUAUAUUGUAUGUCAACACGGCAUGUACGUCCGUUUUCUGCAAAAGGAAGGGCUCUUUAUGAAGAGAGAAUUGAUGACUUUAGGAAGCGCUGUUCUGCUUCAUGGCGCAAAGUGACUGAAAGUUUGUGCAUAGUAAGUAGUUUAACUUAUGAGAGUAAUGUUGGUGAAAUUAACCUGAUUGAACAGCAAUUACCUAUGAAAGUUACGUAAAAGUUAAAGACGAAUUUGAAGUGUACUUAAAAAAUGUGAAGCAAGUCUUAAAGAAUUAUUGCGGCUCUCACUACAGACGUGUCGCUACAGGAAAAAGCAAAGUUACAUGCGCUGGAAAAGAUUGACCAAAAUAAACAAUCAAUAUUAAAAAAAGUCAUAUCCAGCAUGAAGCCAAACUAUGUCCAUGGUGGUGUGAAGACACACAGUUCGAGAUCCUCUAGCCGUAGGAGUGAACUCAUCGCAUUGAAACAAGCAGAAGCCGAAUCUGCCAAGAUAAAACUGAAAUAUACUCAACAAGAAGCAGCUCUUUUGAAACAAAAGGCAGAAUCAAAAGCGAAUCUUCAAGUUCUUUCUCAGCAAAAAGCUUUUGAAGCCGACGCUGCAGAAGUAAAGGUACUACAAGAGCAUGAUGUCGAAGGCUCUGAUGGGUCAGAAAGUCAUGUUGCACCAGACAUUAAAUUCAAAUUGCAAACUUUGCCUGUUGUAAAACCUGACAAUCUAGUUCAAGAAAUCCACAAACAAUCCAACAGUAUCUGACACUAAUAUGGGAGAAAAUCUGUGCAAAUUUCUCCUAAAAAAAGACUAGGCUCUCUCGCGACUGACUAUAUUUAGUGACAAAACUGAAUUUUUAUCCCUGGAAAUGUUUGUAUGAAUAUGUAAAAUGAUGACAAUUUAUAAUAGCUGUAUUAAUACAAGUAUCAAAAAUGUUGAUUUUUAAUGCAAAAAAUGACUUUUUUUGUGAAAAUGUUCGUUUUAAUACGAACAAAGAUGACAGUUAAUAAUACAGUGCCCCAGAUAAUUUUUCGGUAAAUAGGGUUUUCACCCAUUGAUUUUGAAAAAUAGGGUGAUUUCAUUCUUGAAAUAGGGUGAAAUGAGUUAUAAAAAUGCAUACUUUAAAAUUAUUGCUGCUUUACUUCUGUUGAAGCUGCACACUUGUAUUGAUUCAAUAAAAAUGCAAACUAUCAUAAUUAACUUAAAUAAACCAAUUUGGCACUUACUGGCCCUUGCUUUCUUGGUUCGAAAAAGUUUGCUAUCGACUGAUAUUUUUGCAAAACAAUCGGGGACGUCUUUCGACCUCUCUCAUACAUUUUUAUUUCGCAUCGUUAUUGAAAAUUAAAGUACAGACGUUUUAAAAAUACAUGCACAAUGAACGACGGAUAAAGUCAGAUUAAAAACACAUGUAUGUUGUCGUAAAUAAUUUGGUUAUUUUUUAUCUAUGAAAUCUAGUCCGCAGAGCAUUUGAAUAACUUUGACUGUUUUCCUGCUCCGUCAUACAGGCUCUUGCUGAAUGAAAGUGUCUAUAAUAAUUUAAAAGAGAAAAUACCGAAAAUUAGCAAAGCAUUUUCGAUCGAAGCUAUUGUAUCGUACACAUCAAGUUUGACAAAUUUGCGUAAACGUCAAAUUUGUUGCGUUUUCAAUACGCAUGAUUUUGUAUUUCUUUGCGUUUUAUAACAAUUUAAUAGGGUGAAAGACGCAGAUACGCAGCUUAUCUGGGGCACUGAUAAUAGUUCGUAUUAAUACGAAAUAUCAAAAAUGUUGAUUGUUAAUGCAAAA